rnacentral:rRNA from 1 species
UAGAUAAUGUGGAAGGAACACCAGUGGCGAAAGCGGCUUGCUAGAUCGUAACUGACGUUGAGGCUCGAAAGUAUGGGUAGCAAACGGGAUUAGAUACCCCGGUAGUCCAUACCGUAAACGAUGGGUGCUAGUUGUUAAGAGGUUUCCGCCUCCUAGUGACGUAGCAAACGCAUUAAGCACCCCGCCUGAGGAGUACGGCCGCAAGGCUAAAACUUAAAGGAAUUGACGGGGACCCGCACAAGCGGUGGAGCAUGUGGUUUAAUUCGAAGAUACGCGAAAAACCUUACCAGGUCUUGACAUACCAAUGAUCGCUUUUGUAAUGAAAGCUUUUCUUCGGAACAUUGGAUACAGGUGGUGCAUGGUCGUCGUCAGCUCGUGUCGUGAGAUGUUGGGUUAAGUCCCGCAACGAGCGCAACCCUUGUUAUUAGUUGCCAGCAUUUAGUUGGGCACUCUAAUGAGACUGCCGGUGAUAAACCGGAGGAAGGUGGGGACGACGUCAGAUCAUCAUGCCCCUUAUGACCUGGGCAACACACGUGCUACAAUGGGAAGUACAACGAGUCGCAAACCGGCGACGGUAAGCUAAUCUCUUAAAACUUCUCUCAGUUCGGACUGGAGUCUGCAACUCGACUCCACGAAGGCGGAAUCGCUAGUAAUCGCGAAUCAGCAUGUCGCGGUGAAUACGUUCCCGGGUCUUGUACACACCGCCCGUCAAAUCAUGGGAGUCGGAAGUACCCAAAGUCGCUUGGCUAACUUUUAGAGGCCGGUGCCUAAGGUAAAAUCCGAAUGUUGAUC